UUUGAUUCCCGCUGCCGUUCUAAUUUUUUUAUUCCCGCUCCUUCCCAAUGUUUUGAUUGCCCCAUACCCAAAUUCACUUCCCCACAACCCUAGUCCACUCACAUCUCGAUCACCGGUGUUUCUCUCCACGUUCCGUCCCUGGACCGACCAUCGGUGAACUACCUCUCGAUAAGCAGUUCUGGUGGGAGCUAUCCACUUCGCCCUUAACAUUCCUUGUUUGUUCUCUUUCCCUAAUUUCUUAGUUCUGAAAGUUUCUACUGUAAGGGCUUUGUUUUUUGUGUUAGUUGCUUUAGUUUUUUUAUGUUUGGAUAGUGUUACUUUAUAUGCUGGCUUUGCUCGCAACCUGUUCGAUGAAAUGUCACAUAAAGAGCAAGUUGUCUUGACCCUGAUUUGUUAAGUUAUCGUUAAACCAAAGUUCUAUAGCGUUAGAUCGUCUGUACUCUCUUUUGCUUCCUUAUUUCUUCGCCCUAAAAAUCGCAGUUACUAUUAGUUGUAUUUCCAUAUGAUACAGAGCUUCACUUGCAUACUCAAGGUUUGUUUUGGAAAAUGAAUCGUUAUCUAAUGAUUUUAUGUUUUAUAUGCCAUGUAUUCUGUCUUUUCAUUGCAGUGCUAAGGUUAAAAUUGUCUUAGGCUAUUAAAUCGACUUUCUUGAGGUCUUAGGAACUGUCUCUACUUGUUUUGUUUAUUUUUUUGUGUUUAUUGUAGGCUCUUUGAAGUUGGUUUUUAUGCCGUUUUGUUCAUUUUAGAAAAAAAAAAUGAGUCUAGUCUACCCUGAAGACUUUAACCCGGUCCAAAAUUAUUAAUAUGUUUAUUUCUGCUGGUCCUUGUUAAUUUUAAGUAUGUUUUUUUUUUCUGCAUGUUCUUGUUGUCCAUGUGCCUGCUAUUUUUAUACUCGUUCUUAAUAAGCAUUCUAAGAUGGUGUGUCUACUCUCAUAUAUGGGUAGGGCUAUAAACGAACCGAACUAACACAAAUAAGGGCAUGUUUGUGUUCGUUUGUUAAGGUAAUAAAUGUGUUCAUAAACGGUUCAUAAACACUUACAAAACGGGAUUAUAUGUUCGUGUUCAUUUAUUAAGGAAAUGAACCUGUUCACGGACGGUUCACAAACACAGACAGAGGGAGCAGUGUUGGAUGUGGAAAAAUAAGCUUGCUUGAUCAGCAUUCAAAACAAGUUGGAGCUUGUAAUAAUGCAAAGUUAUCGUUUUAUCCUUACUUAAUAGAGUUUUUCAUUCAAGCUUUCUAUGUGUUAAUCAUAUAAUUUUACAAUAGCUAAAUUGAUAAACACAUCCUUUUUAUGUAAUUUCUAGUGGUGCCUACAAAAGUGUCCUAUAUAUGGUACAUUAUACAUUUUAAAUGUUAAGAUAGAUCCUAAUCUUUCUUUUUGUUAGUCAUCAUGUUGACUUAACAAGUCUUCCCAAUAUUCUUCAUUGAUUUCAACCACUGGCGUAGCUAUGUAGGUGACAACCUGUCAAGCGACACCAGUGAUUUUUACGUUUUAUUUAGCACGUAUAGUGUUAGAUUUUUGGUUGACACAAAUCUUUUUAUAUAAUGACACCAGUGGAAAAUACUAACACGGAUCGUUAUGUGGUCUUGUAGUUAAGCAUGUGUCUUCUCACCCAAAGGUUAUCCGUUCUAAUCUUCUUCGUUUGUUUUUCUAUACUUUUUUUUCUAGCAAAAGUCGGAAUCUUUUUUAGAAAAGCAAAACCUUACACACACCCUUUUCAUUUUGCUGCCACUACACUCUUUUCAUUUUGUUAUCACUCUCCAUGCUGGUCAUGCCGUUUUCAUCUUUUUUUUGCUAUUUCAGCAACCACACACCCUGUGCUAGCUGACUUUUAUCUGAUGAUGAUCUUUAGAAAACUUACUAUCCAAGUGCGUUCCUUUUUAUUAUCUUUUUUUCGACGUUUCAGCAACCACACCCUGUUUUGGGGUAAUGUUUUGGGUUCAAAUAUUUUUUAAUAGAUAUGAUUUUUUGAUGGUAUAGUUUUAUUAAUUUGCAGAAACCAAGGGAAUGGAAUUCGCAGAUUGAGGGUUAGGCUUCAAUUAGUGGUUGCAACAAAGGAUCUCAUCCAUUUCAUUUACCGCCUCACUUUUGUCACCUCAAAUCUUCGCGUUACAUGUUUGUUAGUACUAAUUUAUUUUUAAUUUAUGUUUUCUUACACACUUGAAAAUAUUCAUUAUUAAUUUCAAUAUUAAAUUAUUUGCUGGUUCUUUACUGUCCAUUGUAUGUCGAAGCUUAGAACAUAUUGCGAAUUCAUUAGGCAUUUUGGUCGUUUCUUCUUAUACAGUGGUUCCUAUACUGGGAACUUCUUAUAAGAGUUCUCUGCGGGGGUGGAAUUAUACAAAACAAAGCUCAGCAUAUAUAUAUGAGAUUGGAGUUGGCCUUCUUUUGAUCAUCUCUUUUCCCUAUCUUCAGUAACCAUGUUAUUAUUUCUAAUCUUUUAAUGUAAUCCUUUUUCUAAAUUAAUUAUUUGUAUAUACAAGUGGUAGUGUAACACAAUACAAACUUUAUUGUAUUUGCAGCAGGUACUGAAGCUAGAGAUCGUCCAUCACCAUUUUUGGAACGCGAGCUGGAGAAAGAGGAACAAAUGAACUACAAACCUUUUCAUUGAUCCUAUUAUUGUCGUAAUGAACAAUGAUGGCUACCUUCUUCUUUAUGGUAGCGGGUGUUACAAAUAAAUGGAUGGUGGUGAGGAACCAUACAUGAUUCUGGGUGGGCUUAAGGCAUUAUUCAAGGUGAGCCUUAAAGUUGAAAAGCAUGGUUGCUUGAAGUACGAGAAAAAAAAAAUUGAAGGAGACCUUUAAAGAAAAAAAAUUGAGCUAGAAGCUAUGCAGAAUGAUUUUGAUAACCAAUGAGCAACUUCAAUGCGAAGUAUUAUAUGGAAAAGCUACUUAUUCGAUAACUUCAAGAUCUUAGAGAUGAUUAGGAGGUCUUUGUUACUUUUAUCAUUGUAAAUGACAACUUCAUCUUGGUUACUCAGUUAUUUUUAAUUUGGAUAUGUGUUAAAUUACAAUAUAAUGUUUUAUUAUAUUUAUGUUAUUA